rnacentral:misc_RNA from 1 species
UCCUCUCUCUACCCUCUCGGGGUGGGCGUUGGACCGAGUGGUGGUUCGUCCGCGACUGGUCUCAAAGACAAUGACGGCGUCCGUGGGGCCCUCUUCGCAACGAGUCUUUCGAGACACGCGGGGAGUUGCAAGGCCUCGUCGGGUCGGUCUGACCUUUUAUUUUCUCA